GUCAUCGUGGUGUAGUGGUUAUCACAUCUGUCUGUGGAACAGGAACCCCCGGUUCGAACCCGGGCGAUGACA